AUUGAAUGCUGGCGGCAGGCUUAACACAUGCAAGUCGAGCGGAGCGAGGGUGCUUGCACCUUAGCUUAGCGGCGGACGGGUGAGUAAUGCUUAGGAAUCUGCCUAUUAGUGGGGGACAACAUUCCGAAAGGGAUGCUAAUACCGCAUACGCCCUACGGGGGAAAGCAGGGGAUCUUCGGACCUUGCGCUAAUAGAUGAGCCUAAGUCGGAUUAGCUAGUUGGUGGGGUAAAGGCCUACCAAGGCGACGAUCUGUAGCGGGUCUGAGAGGAUGAUCCGCCACACUGGGACUGAGACACGGCCCAGACUCCUACGGGAGGUAGCAGUGGGGAAUAUUGGACAAUGGGCGGAAGCCUGAUCCAGCCAUGCCGCGUGUGUGAAGAAGGCCUUUUGGUUGUAAAGCACUUUAAGCGAGGAGGAGGCUCUUAAGGUUAAUACCCUUGAUGAGUGGACGUUACUCGCAGAAUAAGCACCGGCUAACUCUGUGCCAGCCGCCGCCGUAA
rnacentral:rRNA from 1 species